GAGCUUGCUCCUUUGACGUUAGCGGCGGACGGGUGAGUAACACGUGGGUAACCUACCUAUAAGACUGGGAUAACUUCGGGAAACCGGGGCUAAUACCGGAUAAUAUUUCGAACCGCAUGGUUCGAUAGUGAAAGAUGGUUUUGCUAUCACUUAUAGAUGGACCCGCGCCGUAUUAGCUAGUUGGUAAGGUAACGGCUUACCAAGGCGACGAUACGUAGCCGACCUGAGAGGGUGAUCGGCCACACUGGAACUGAGACACGGUCCAGACUCCUACGGGAGGCAGCAGUAGGGAAUCUUCCGCAAUGGGCGAAAGCCUGACGGAGCAACGCCGCGUGAGUGAUGAAGGUCUUCGGAUCGUAAAACUCUGUUAUUAGGGAAGAACAUACGUGUAAGUAACUGUGCACGUCUUGACGGUACCUAAUCAGAAAGCCACGGCUAACUACGUGCCAGCAGCCGCGGUAAUACGUAGGUGGCAAGCGUUAUCCGGAAUUAUUGGGCGUAAAGCGCGCGUAGGCGGUUUCUUAAGUCUGAUGUGAAAGCCCACGGCUCAACCGUGGAGGGUCAUUGGAAACUGGAAAACUUGAGUGCAGAAGAGGAAAGUGGAAUUCCAUGUGUAGCGGUGAAAUGCGCAGAGAUAUGGAGGAACACCAGUGGCGAAGGCGACUUUCUGGUCUGUAACUGACGCUGAUGUGCGAAAGCGUGGGGAUCAAACAGGAUUAGAUACCCUGGUAGUCCACGCCGUAAACGAUGAGUGCUAAGUGUUAGGGGGUUUCCGCCCCUUAGUGCUGCAGCUAACGCAUUAAGCACUCCGCCUGGGGAGUACGACCGCAAGGUUUGAAACUCAAAGGAAUUGACGGGGACCCGCACAAG
rnacentral:rRNA from 1 species